rnacentral:rRNA from 1 species
GACGAACGCUGGCGGCGUGCUUAACACAUGCAAGUCGAACGGAAAGGCCCUGCUUUCGUGGGGUGCUCGAGUGGCGAACGGGUGAGUAACACGUGAGUAACCUGCCCUUGACUUUGGGAUAACUUCAGGAAACUGGGGCUAAUACCGGAUAGGAGAUCCUGCUGCAUGGUGGGGGUUGGAAAGUUUCGGCGGUUGGGGAUGGACUAGCGGCUUAUCAGCUUGUUGGUGGGGUAGUGGCUUACCAAGGCUUAGACGGGUAGCCGGCCUGAGAGGGUGACCGGCCACAUUGGGACUGAGAUACGGCCCAGACGCCUACGUGAGGCAGCAGUGGGGAAUAUUGCACAAUGGGCGGAAGCCGGAUGCAGCAACGCCGCGUGCGGGAUGACGGCCUUCGGGUUGUAAACCGCUUUCGCCUGUGACGAAGCGUGAGUGACGGUAAUGGGUAAAGAAGCACCGGCUAACUACGUG